AAAAUCCUACGGGGCGCAGCAGUGGGGAAUAUUGCACAAUGGGGGAAACCCUGAUGCAGCGACGCCGCGUGAGUGAAGAAGUAUUUCGGUAUGUAAAGCUCUAUCAGCAGGGAAGAUAAUGACGGUACCUGACUAAGAAGCCCCGGCUAACUACGUGCCAGCAGCCGCGGUAAUACGUAGGGGGCAAGCGUUAUCCGGAUUUACUGGGGGUAAAGGGUGCGAAGGUGGCAGGGCAAGUCAGAUGUGAAAGCCCG
rnacentral:rRNA from 1 species